rnacentral:tRNA from 2 species
GUUGCGGUGGCCGAGCGUUUACGGCGUUGGACUAGAAAUCCAAUGGGAUCUUCCCGCGCAGGUUCGAGUCCUGCCGGCAACG